rnacentral:rRNA from 1 species
UAAAAGAUUGUUAUGAAAUAUAAUUCAAGGAAUUUGUUAUCUAGUUUUUUAAUAAAUUUAGUUUACGAGGAAUUCUUUUUGAAUAUAAUUUGGGAUUAGCUUAGUUAUAGAAUAUAUACUUAUAAUUGAAUAUAAAAUUAAUAUAAUUAGAGUUGUUACUUUUGAUGGCGCUAUAGAGGGAUUUGCUUUAUUAAUUUAAUUUUUAUUAGCUAUUAAUUUAUUAAAAGGUUACAUCUAAUUAAUGAUUGUUAGUUAUAAUGAGUAGAUUACUAAUAUGAUGAUUUUAUUAAAAGGUAGUUUUUAUUUACAUUAUUUUAAAAGAACUAGGCAAUAUUUUUUUUGACUGUAUAGCAAAAACAUUGUUUUUCGUAGAAAUAAAAAGUAAUGUCUGUUCGCUGAUUAUUAUGUGAAGGACUGCAGUAUUUCGACCGUAUAAAAGUAGCAUAAUCAUUAGCUUUUUAAUUAGAAGAUGGUAUGAAGGUGAAACACGAGGAGAACUUUAUUUUUAUUAUUAGGUGAAUUUUAUAUUUAGGUGAAAAAGCUUAAAUGGAAUAAAAGGUCAAAGAGACCCUAUUAAGCUUUAUAUAUUUUUGUAUUGUAAUAACGUUUAGAUUAUGGAUAGAUCUUAGUUUAUGUUUAAUUGGGGCGAUGAUUUUAUUAACAUAAAUUAGAUUAUAAUGAU